GUAGUUUUUGGUAAGAAGGUGUGAAGAGAGAGAGGUGAGUUCUGAGAUUUUCUCUGGUGAAGGAUUUUGUUACCAUUCGGUUACGUUUCUGUUAUGAAGAUUUUGGUUAAAUGGCGUUAUGCAAGUUUGGGCAUGGAUAUGGUGCGGUUCAUUGGCUUACUGAUGCAACAUUUUGGUGCUAGUUUAAAGUUCUCAUACGGUUCGCGGUUGGCUUGGAAUAUGCAGGAUGGAAUAGGAUGAAUUGUGAACUGGUUUUAUUCUCUCUUGCAGGUGGAAUUGGUCAAUGCUCGGGAAUUGUUUUGGUUAGCUUAUCAUUUGGAGAUAGUAUGCAUAUUGAUGAAGACAUCAUAUGAGAUAUAAGGUGAAAACAUCUUUGUGUAAUUUUGUAUGAAUAAUGAUGAAUUUGAAUGAUGAACUUGAACUUGUAAGAUUGGACUUGUUUGUAUUGAAAUGAUCUGGAACA